rnacentral:rRNA from 1 species
AACGAACGCUGGCGGCGUGCUUAACACAUGCAAGUCGAGCGAGAAAGGGGAGCAAUCCCCGAGUAAAGCGGCAAACGGGUGAGUAACACGUGGGUAACCUACCCUUGAGUGGGGAAUAACAUCUCGAAAGAGGUGCUAAUACCGCAUGAUAUCGAGAGGGCUCUGGCCUUUUCGAUUAACGGUUGGGAUCUUCGGACCAACCGCUCGAGGAUGGGCCCGCGGCUGAUUAGCUAGUUGGUGGGGAAUGGCCUACCGAGGCGGCGAUCAGUAGCCGGCCUGAGAGGGCGAUCGGCCACACUGGAACUGAGACACGGUCCAGACUCCUACGGGAGGCAGCAGUGAGGAAUUUUGGACAAUGGGCGAAAGCCUGAUCCAGCAACGCCGCGUGGACGAUGAAGGUCUUCGGAUCGUAAAGUCCUGUCGAGUGGGAAGAAAUGCAGAGGGGUCAAUAGCUCUUCUG